GGUGUGGUUUAUUAUCAGUCACCCCUGUGGUGGCAGGAAUCUGCUCGAGACCAUGGAGAUGGGCUCUUGAGUUUUAAAUAUCCACCCACGGUCUUCAUCUCAGAUAUAGCUGGACGUGUUGCCAGACAUUUAAAUAAUAGGACUCAUCAAAAGUUCUUUCAGCCACAUGAUGGCAGGCUAUGUGCUCCAACAUCUGAAAACAUUUCUGCUGCAUUGGAAAAAAAACUCACUGUGCAGAAAGAAUGGGUGAAUACCCUUCGAAGCUCAAUGGGGCCAAAUAAACAUGAAGACCAAACAAGUGACAGAUUCACCUGCCCUCACCCUCUGACUGGAACUCAUGAACGGUACUCCCUUUAUGACCGUUUUCAUGAGAAAAACCAAAAAAGGCCUGAAGAGAGACUGAGAAGCAUCAAACUUUUGCCAGAUCUUGCCAGUAUUUUUAAUUCAUCUUCAGCAGAGCAAAUUAACAAAGAGCUGUCAACCAGCAGGUAUUUCCUCUGCCAACUGAAGGACAUUCAUUACAUGUUCGCCUUGCGGCUGUGUUUCCAUCUGCACAAUCAGAGGAUCAAUGAUAACUUUUUGCAGGACAUUCAAAAAUGUCUCAAAAAGAUGUGCACCUAGGGCUACAUGGACACCUAUUAAUAGGUGUGGAUGAGGAAACAGACAAAGAGAUGUACCAAAGAACAUCUGCAAAGUCAUUAACCGACCCACAAGCUGAACCAGAUAAAGUUGAGGAAGAUAUGGAGAGUUUCACUGUGUCAUUGUUUCCGAUAAGUGAACAAAAUAAGGACAAGCUGAAACAACUUUACAUUUCCUGGAGGAGAAAGAGACAAAUAAUUCACAGAUUUUCAGCAUACGCAACACUGUAUAUUGCAGACUUGAGAAGUGUUUGCCCCUCUUCUCUUUUAGAGGAAGACCCAAAUAAGAACAUGCCUUGGUUAAGUGAUAAUGCAGUGAACUGUUGUCUUGCUCAAAUUGCAGCAGAAACUCCGCAUGUUGUUGCCUUAUACACAGAUGUGUACAUUUUGUGGUACAGAGAGUGGACAAAAAACAAAGCCAUUUCAAGGUCACAUGUGCAAGAUCUUGAGAAUGCUCAAAAAAUCCUGCUCCCAAGAAUCGUUGGUGGUAAAACACCAGAACGGGGAAACCACUUUAUACUCUGGGUUUUCGAUGUCUCUGGAAAACAAGUGCGUAUUUAUGAUUCAAUGCGAUCUACAAUUCUAUUGAAAAAAAUGACAUGGAUAUUCUGAGAGAGGCUUUCCAAAAACUUGGGUCACUGGAUGGCUGGACUGUUUGCAACCCAGAACAGUGGAUGCAGCGAGAUGGUGUGAACUGCGGGGUAUUUGUUUGCAUUGCAGCUGAAAUGGAAGCCAAAAAAAUGAAGUGCUGCAAACUUGUCAGCUAGUACACCUGCAUGUUUGCCAUGCCACAAGCAUGUUGAAAGAUGUGAUGACUGAAGACUUUCCGACUGCAAUUGGAGAAAGAGAGGAAGGUGAAAUAGAGACCAACACCUGCAUGGCCCAGGACAUAAAAGCAUGUGUUUAUCAAAACACUGGAAAUAAAACCCUGCAUCCACACAUCAAACGGAUGAAGUGGGUUUAGUGUGAUCUGUGCAACAAAUGGUUACACACUGAUUGUGCUGGCAUAGACCCUACAACAAUUCGCAAAGACACGCCCUUCAGCUGUGGAUGUGAUCAACAACCAUAUUCUUUUCAAAGCACCCUCACAGCUUUGAAACAGGGACUUUUGGUUGACACACUUGUGGAGGAUGAAGAAAUUGUGAAACUUCAUCAUGACCUCACAUCUGGUGCUGUUAGAUCACACAGAAUGUUUUUACAUAAACAUCCCAGUUAUGCCCCCAAACUGAAAACCCAAUGUAACCUACGGAUCUCUGUUUUUGACCAAGAACAGACAGAGGGAAUCAUUGACAAGGUGUACAGUGUUUUGGCAUUGAAAAAAACAGAUUUAUCUAGCCCUUCAUAUGAAAUGGAAGUCAUGACACCUGAGAUAACCAUUCUGAUUCUCAGAAAGACAGAGGGGUUCCACAGAUUCCAAGCGGAAAUGGCUUUUGCAACUGCACACUGUCUGUGUGUUGAAUAAUAUGCGACAAGCAAUGGCCUUUAUAGAUUCUUUUUUGUAUUAUUAUUUCUAAAUAGUUUUUUUUCCCUUUGUUUUUAUUUGUAAAUAGAUUUUUUUCUUGGGUUUUAUUUGUAAAUUGUCUUUGUAAAUUUGAAAAUAUAAUGAUACAAUGUGUGCUAAGUGAUUUUACCAUUAAAGUUGGCAUUCUUUUAUUGAAUUAUUAAAAAGCUUUG